rnacentral:lncRNA from 1 species
CAAGAAAUGAAAAUGAAGGGCGCCCUGGAAUAGGUUCGCCGAAGAGAGAGCAACAUGGCCUGUCGCGGUGGCUCAUGCCUGUAUUCCCAGCACUUUGGGAGGCCAAAGCAGGAAGAUCGCUUGAGCCCAGGAGUUUGAGACCAUCCUGGACAAGCUUGCAGGCCUCUGGGAAGCAAGCCAUCGUGUGGCAGAGGCCCAGGUGGCAAGGAACCAAGGGCGGCUUCUGGCCAACAGCCAGCGAGGACCUGAGACCGUAGCCCAACACCCCUCCAGGAACUGAAUUUUGCCAGCAACCAGUGAGUGACCUUGGAAGUGGAUCCUUCCCCCGAAAGCCCGGCUUUCAGGUGAAGGUUAUUCGUUGAACCAAUAAUCUCUGAAAUUUUUGGAGUUCCAUGAAGCUUGCACCAACUAUUAUCCCUGAGAUGACCUUGGCUGUGGAACCCAGAUUCUGUUCAGGGCCGAGAGCGCCACCUGGUGAUUCCAGUUUACGGAGGCUGGUGGGACCUCAACCCCAGCUGGUAUCCAGGCUCUUGACACCAUCUGGAGAAGGAAUUCAAGAGUGUGUCAGAAAAUGAUGAAAGUACAAAGAUUUAUUGCAAAGCGAAAAAUACACACUCAAGAAAGGGGAGUAUGGGUGGACUCAAGACAGAGUCCGAUGGGACUUGGGGUUUCUACCUUUUGGGUUUCUUUUUUUUUUUUUUUUGAUAUGGAGUCUCGCACUGUUGCCCAGGCUGGAGCGCAGUGGCGUGAUUUUGGCUCACUGCAACCUCUGCCUCCCGGGUUAAAACGAUUCUCCUGCCUCAGCGUCCCAAGUAGCUGGGAUUACAGGCUCCCACCACCAUGCCCGGCUAAUUUUUGUAUUUUUAGUAGAGACGAGGCCUCACCAUAUUGGCCAGGCUGUUCUCGAACUCCGGACCUUAGGUGAUCUGCCUGCCUCAGCCUCCCAAAGUGCUGGGAUUACAGGCGUGAGCCACCAUGCCCAAUGGGUGUGGGAUUUAGUAUAUUAAUGAGUGUAUAAUGAGGUCCUUGGUGAAACCUACAUCAAAUCCAGCACCGUGUUGGGUCCAGUCUGUCUUAGCCAGCUUGGUCCACACCCUGGUUUUUUAGGGUCUUAUUGGCCCCUUACUUCUGCAGCAAAAGUUUCCUUUUGCUAGUCAUGUGAAACUGCCACCUGGAAUUUUCUAUUCUCUAGUGACCACCCUGUAUUAUUCCUGUCUCACUGGGACCCUAAGAAAUUGGGAAUUCCAACUACACAUCCAAAAUAGUUUGACUAAAACUGUUGAAAAAAGAAAAAAAUAAUGGCAUAAAGUAUUGCUUGACUAAAUUCCAGCCAGGUGCAUUGGCCACUUUAGGUCGGGUGUGGUGGCUCAUGCUUGUAAUCCCAGCAUUUUGGGAGGCUGAGGCGGGAGGAUCACUUGAGGUCAGGAGUUCCAAACCAGUCUGGCCAAAAUGGUAAAACCCCCUCUCUACUAAAAAUACAAAAAUUAGCCGGACCUGGUGGCGGAAGCCUGUAAUCCCAGCUACUCUGGAGGCUGAGGCACGAAAAUUGCUUGAACCCAGGAGGUGGAGGUUGCAUUGAACCAAGAUCAUACCACUGCACUCUAGCCUGUGUGACAGAGAAAGAUUCCGUCUCAAGAAACAAAAACAAAAAUGAAAAACAAACAAAAAGAAAGCCCAUUCUAUCUUUUUUAUUUUUUAUUUUUUUGAGACAGGGUCUCGCUCUGUCACUCAGGCUGGAGUGCCACAGCGCGAUCUCUGCUCACUACAACCUCCAUCUCCCAGGCUCAAGCACUCCUCCCACCUCAGCCUCCUGAGUAGCUGGGACCACAGGCACAGAAACCCCACUGUAAAUAAAGAGAGGUAGGCUUUUAAAAAUGUCACUCUGUUCACAGUAAGGCAAGCAAGGGAAGCAAAAUCAAUUUCUUUCUAGAGGUGGGAUAAUGGGUAGGGAGUGGAAGACUUUAGGAAAGAGGUGCCCCAGUUUCUGAGUCACUUCAUGGCUUCAAUAUUCAUUGACUAUCAAUCAACAGAUGAAUGGAUAUACAAAAGGUGGUAUCUCUGUUGCAGCAGGUAGUUAGUCAGAGCUGAGCAGGGAAGGAGAGGCUCCUCCGCCCCAUCAGGAGAUGAUCAGGCAGUUGUUAAACUGUCUCUCUCAAAUAAUCAUUGGUUGCAGCCGAUGCCAGGGAAAGACAGUCUCCCAGUAGAUAGAAACGCCAGAAACUGGUGAUCAGCAGCUUCCCAGUAAGAUCUCAGGAGGUGGGUGAGUGGGCUUAAGCAUGUGCAUGAAGAGGCAAAAUGGUUGAGCUUAGCUGGUACAUGACCUUCCUCUAGGAACACUCAACUGAUAAGGGAAGAACACCUCAAGUGAGCACACAUAUAGCUUCAGUAAACACACUCACAUGCAGCCCCUCCCAAGUGCUGGCAGGCCAUUGUACAUGCAGACUGCCAACAUAUAAAACCACAAGUCAAAGGUCAAACCAUGCACUUGAAUCUCUCAAGGUCCCUACUGGCCCUCUUCCACGUGUACUUUAUUUCCUUGCAUUCCUGUUCUAAAACUUUUUUUUUUUUUUUUUUGAGACGGAGUUUCGCUCUUGUUGCUCAGGCUGGAGUGCAAUGGCGCGAUCUCAGCUCACAGCAACCUCCACCUCCCAGGUUCAAGCCAUUCUCCUGCCUCAGCCUCCCGAGUAGCUGGGAUUAUAGGCAUGUGCCAUCAUGCCCGGCUAAUUUUAUAUUUUUAGUAGAGACAGGGUUUCUCCAUGUUGGUCAGGCUGGUCUCGAACUCCGGACCUCAGGUGUUCUGCCCACCUCCCAAAGUGCUGGGAUUACAGGCGUGAGCCACCAUGCCCAGCUAAAACUUUUUAAUAAACUUUCACUCCUGCUGUGAAACUUGCCUUGGUUUCUUACUCUGUCUUAUGCCCCUUGGUUGAAUUCUCUCUUCUGAGGAGGCAAGGAUUCAGGUUGCUGCAGGCCCGUAUGGAUUCACUGCUACUAACAUCUCCAUACAACAGAAUAUAAUUUGGCCAUAAAAUGAAAUGAAGUAUUGAUACAAGCUACAAUGUAGAUGAACCUUGAGAACAUUGCGUUAAGUGAAAGAAGCCAGUCACAACAUAUAUUGCUUGCUUCUGUUAACAUGAAAUGUCUGGAAUAGGCAAAACCAUAGAGACAGAAAGUAGAUUCAUGAUUGCUGGGGGUUGGAGGGGGUGGGGAAAUUGUGAGUGUGUCUUAGCCUGUUUUCUGUUGCAUAUAUACCACAGACUGGGUAGGGUAAUUUAUAAAGAAAAAAAGUAUAUUUAGUACAUGGUUCUGGAGACUGAGAAGUCCAAGAGCAUGGAACAAGCAUCUGGUGAGGACCUUCUUGCUGUAUCAUAACAUAACAGAGGGCAUCACAUGGCAAGAGGACAAGAGCAAGAGAGCCAGAGAGCGCUUGCUUUUAUAACAAAACCACUCCCACGAUGGCAACACUAAUCCAUUCUUGAGGGUAGAGGGACUGAGUUUCCAACACAUGAACUUUUGGAGGACACAUUCAAACCAUAGCAAGGUGAUAGCUAAAGGGUAUGGGGUGUCUUUCUGGAGUGAUGAAAAUCUAAAAUUGAUGGUAGUUAUGGUUGUACAACCUUGUGACUAUGCUAAAAGCCAUUGAAUUGUAGACUUUAACUGAGAGAGUUCUAUGGGAUGAAUUAUAUCUCAAUAAAGCUGUUAUCAGCAGAGGGUGGUGGCUCAUGCCUGUAAUCCCAGCACUUUGGGAGGCCAAGGCAGGUGGAUCACCUGAGGUCAGGAGUUCAAGACCAGCCUGGCCAAUAUGGUAAAACCCCAUCUCUAAUUAAAAAAUACAAAAAUUAGCCGGGUGUGGUGUUGAGCACCUGUAAUCCCAGGUACUCGGGAGGCUGAGGCAGGAGAAUCACUUGAACCUGGGAAGCGGAGAUUGCAGUAAGCCAAGAUUGAGCCACUGCACUCCAGCCUGGGCUACGAAGGAAGACUCUGUCUCAAAAUAAAAUAAAAUAAAAAUAAAG